CAACAUUUUAUUUUUUCCAACACACACACACAUACACACACACAUACACACACACACACACACACACACACAGAGACAUCCAUUAAAACUCUGUGAUGAUAAUCCUAGUAGCAGAUCAUCCCUCUAAUUUAAGUGACACAAUGCACAAUAAUGGCAGCAAUGAGAAACAAGCCUGACUGGACUGAUGCACACUGAGCAACAGAGAACUGUGAAAUGUGUACAGUACCCGACGAGUAACGUCUGUGUUUUGUCUGUCAGUAGCUGUGACAGCCAGUCAUAUAGUACCCGACGAGUAACGUCUGUGUUUUGUCUGUCAGUAGCUGUGACAGCCAGUCAUAUAGUACCCGACGAGUAACGUCUGUGUUUUGUCUGUCAGUAGCUGUGGCAGCCAGUCAUAUAGUACCCGACGAGUAACGUCUGUGUUUUGUCUGUCAGUAGCUGUGACAGCCAGUCAUAUAGUACCCAACGAGUAACGUCUGUGUUUUGUCUGUCAGUAGCUGUGACAGCCAGUCAUAUAGUACCCGACGAGUAACGUCUGUGUUUUGUCUGUCAGUAGCUGUGGCAGCCAGUCAUAUAGUACCCGACGAGUAACGUCUGUGUUUUGUCUGUCAGUAGCUGUGACAGCCAGUCAUAUACAGUACCCGACGAGUAACGUCUGUGUUUUGUCUGUCAGUAGCUGUGACAGCCAGUCAUAUAGUACCCGACGAGUAACGUCUGUGUUUCCCUCCCUGGUUCCAGCCAGUCAUAUACAGUACCCGACGAGUAACGUCUGUGUUUUGUCUGUCAGUAGCUGUGACAGCCAGUCAUAUAGUACCCGACGAGUAACGUCUGUGUUUUGUCUGUCAGUAGCUGUGACAGCCAGUCAUAUAGUACCCGACGAGUAACGUCUGUGUUUUGUCUGUCAGUAGCUGUGACAGCCAGUCAUAUAGUACCCGACGAGUAACGUCUGUGUUUCCCUCCCUGGUUCCAGCCAGUCAUACAGUACCCGACCCUCCACACACUGGCUUUCUGCCUGCAUCCCAAAUGGCACCCUAUUCUCUAGGGCAGUGUUUGCCAACUCCGGUCCUCCAGUACUCCCAACAGCCCAACUCCGGUCCUCCAGUACCUCCAACAGCCCAACUCCAGUCCUCCAGUCCUCCCAACAGUGUUUUCCAACUCCAGUCCUCCCAACAGCCCAACUCCAGUCCCCCAACAGCCCAACUCCAGGCCUCCAGUCCUCCCAACAGUGUUUUCCAACUCCAGUCCUCCAGUACUCACAACAGCCCAACUCCAGUCCUCCAGUACCCCCAACAGCCCAACUCCGGUCCUCCAGUGUCCCCAAAAGUGUUUCCCAACUCCGGAUAGAAUAACCUCAACUAGGCUCUUCUGGCUCAUGUUACGCUCACUGACACACUCCAGUUACACAAUGAGUGGGUGGUACAUGGAGAAACAGAGUUGUUCCAGAAUGAGUACAUGGAGAAACAGAGUUGUUCCAGAAUGAGUACGUAGUACAUGGAGAAACAGAGUUGUUCCAGAAUGAGUACAUGGAGAAACAGAGUUGUUCCAGAAUGAAUGGGUGGUACAUGGAUAAACAGAGUUGUUCCAGAAUGAGUACAUGGAGAAACAGAGUUGUU
ensembl:lncRNA